CCUACGGGAGGCAGCAGUGGGGAAUAUUGGGCAAUGGAGGAAACUCUGACCCAGCAACGCCGCGUGAAUGAUGAAGGUCUUCGGAUUGUAAAGUUCUUUUCUAAGGGAAGAAGAAAGUGACGGUACCUUAGGAAUAAGCCUCGGCUAACUACGUGCCAGCAGCCGCGGUAAUACGUAGGAGGCAAGCGUUAGCCGGAAUGACUGGGCGUAAAGGGGGCGUAGGUGGUGUGACAAGUUGGUAGCGUAACUCCGGGGCUCAACCUCGGCACUACUACCGAAACUGUUGGACUUGAGUGCAGGAGGGGCAAAUGGAAUGCCUAGUGUAGCGGUGGAAUGCGUAGAUAUUAGGAGGAACACCAGUGGCGAAGGCGAUUUGCUGGACUGUAACUGACACUGAGGCACGAAAGCGUGGGGAGCAAACAGGAUUAGAUACCCCGGUAGUC
rnacentral:rRNA from 1 species